rnacentral:rRNA from 1 species
AUGGCUGCAGUGAAGCAUUUGAUGUUGGGUGUCCUAUCAUCGUACCAAUGGACGACUGCAGCGAGGCAUUCGGAGCUGGGCGUCCUCUCAUCGUACCAACAGAUGGCGGCAGCGAGGCAUUUAGAGCUUGGUUCAUCGUACCAAUGGACGACUGCAGCGAGGCAUUCAGAGCUGGGAGUCCUCUCAUCGUACCAACGGAUGGUUGUAGCAAGGCAUUUGGAGCUGGGUGUCCUCUCAUGGUCCCAAGAGAUGGCAAUAGUGAGACAUCCAGAGCUGAUUUGCAUUGUUCUGAAUAGGUAUAAACGUGAUUUGUCGGAACCCCCAAAUGACCCUGUGAGUAGUAGUAGCAAACAUUAG